GAUGAACGCUGGCGGCGUGCCUAAUACAUGCAAGUCGAGCGAACGGACGAGAAGCUUGCUUCUCUGAUGUUAGCGGCGGACGGGUGAGUAACACGUGGAUAACCUACCUAUAAGACUGGGAUAACUUCGGGAAACCGGAGCUAAUACCGGAUGAUAUUUUGAACCGCAUGGUUCAAAAGUGAAAGACGGUCUUGCUGUCACUUAUAGAUGGAUCCGCGCUGCAUUAGCUAGUUGGUAAGGUAACGGCUUACCAAGGCAACGAUGCAUAGCCGACCUGAGAGGGGGAUCGGCAACACUGGAACGGAGACACGGUCCAGACUCCUACGGGAGGCAGCAGUAGGGAAUCUUCCGCAAUGGGCGAAAGCCUGACGGAGAAACGCCGCGUGAGUGAGGAAGGUCUUCGGAUCGUAAAACUCUGUUAUUAGGGAAGAACAUAUGUGUAAGUAACUGUGCACAUCUUGACGGUACCUAAUCAGAAAGCCACGGCUAACUACGUG
rnacentral:rRNA from 1 species